UAUCCUUUUUUGGACACUGGGGGGAGCAGUGGGCAGCCACUGUACAGCGCCCGGGGACCAGAUUGAAUGCAGUGUCUGGUCAAACAGCACUGACUGAAGAACCUACCUAACAUGUUUUUUUUUUUGAUGGUGGGUGAAACCGGGGCACCUGGAGGAAACCCAUGCAGACACAGGGAGAACAUGCAAACUGCACACAGAAAGGCUGAGACAACCGGGUUUUGAACCCAGAACCUUCUUGCUGUGAGGCCACCGUGCUGCCCUAUUAGCAAACCUGUUAGCAAACAGUUCCUUAUGUCAGCCAGCAUAUACAGAGCAACAUUAUCAUCCCAUCACUGUGUUUCUGGACACCCAAUGAAGAGUUUCUGGCCUCUUGAUGAAGACAAGAAGAACAACAAAAAAAAGAAUAAACCUGUGGAUGAACUUGAGGUUGUUGGUGACGCUUCCCGUUAAGCUCACUCUCAUUGGCUGAUGCGGGUUUCUACUCAAUGUUCCAUUGCUGUUCCUUUCACAUUCGGGGAUUUGAAAUUGCAAAUAUCAAACAUGUUUGAUACUGGGGCCAGCAUUAGUAAUCAAAUCCUGAAAGAAAUAUCUUACUGCUAGAUGUUCUACUUUCUGUGCCAGGUAGUUGAUAAAUAUGUCUUCUGUUUACUAAAAAGGUUUUAAAAUGUUUCGGCUGCAGAGUUGGGUUAUAACGUGCUGUACUAUGAAUACUAUGUACCUUUGACAUAAAAAAAAAGAAAUAAAAACAAUUUCAGAAAGAAGGUUUAAAAAUAGGAACACAGAGAUGUCAUACCAAAUCUGGAGAUGACCAGAUCAAUAGUCUAAGAGGAAUUCAGAAACAAAACUGAUUUAAAAGAAAUCUAAAUAGCCUAAAGUUGAACAUACAUGUAGUCAUCAACUUCAGUACCAAUAAGUUACUUUUAGAUACAUGACUGCUGUUAUAACUGCAAUAAACUAUUUCAUGUUAACGUCUUAA